rnacentral:rRNA from 1 species
UACGUAGGGUGCGAGCGUUGUCCGGAAUUAUUGGGCGUAAAGAGCUCGUAGGCGGUCUGUCGCGUCUGCUGUGAAAACCCGAGGCUCAACCUCGGGCCUGCAGUGGGUACGGGCAGACUAGAGUGCGGUAGGGGAGAAUGGAAUUCCUGGUGUAGCGGUGGAAUGCGCAGAUAUCAGGAGGAACACCGAUGGCGAAGGCAGUUCUCUGGGCCGUAACUGACGCUGAGGAGCGAAAGCGUGGGAAGCGAACAGG